GAGACUUUAGUAAAACAAUUACUUUACCUUGUCGAGGUGACAUUAGGGGUGAAAAACCCCUAAGUCUUA
rnacentral:tRNA from 1 species